rnacentral:rRNA from 1 species
UACGUAGGGGGCAAGCGUUGUCCGGAAUCAUUGGGCGUAAAGCGCGUGUAGGCGGUCCGGUAAGUCGGCUGUGAAAGUCCAGGGCUCAACCCUGGGAUGCCGGUCGAUACUGCCGGACUAGAGUUCGGAAGAGGCGAGUGGAAUUCCCGGUGUAGCGGUGAAAUGCGCAGAUAUCGGGAGGAACACCAAUGGCGAAGGCAGCUCGCUGGGACGUUACUGACGCUGAGGCGCGAAAGCCAGGGGAGCGAACGGG